ACUAAAGUGAUGACAAUGAUACCGCCCCAGUCUGAAUUUUGUGCGGAAACGGUACAACUGAUUUAGU
rnacentral:snoRNA from 1 species